CAAAAUUGAAAUUUGGAAAGAGCAGAAAAAAGAGGAACGAUGGGGAAGAAAAAAAAGAAGAAAAACGUGAAGAAGAAAAAUGUGAAAUUUUAUUUUUCUAUUUUAAAAAUAACUUCCCCUUUUAAAAUAAAAUAAAAUAACAUAAAAAAAUAACUAUAAAAAACACUUACAGGGAUUCAAACACGAGACCCUAAGAUACACUAACACACAACUAAC
rnacentral:lncRNA from 1 species